rnacentral:tRNA from 1 species
GGGCCGAUAGAUCAGCCCGGCAGAUCGUAUGGUUUGCAUCCAGAAGGUCGCGAGUUCAAAUCUCGCUCGGUCCACCA